rnacentral:rRNA from 1 species
UACAGGGGGUGCAAACGUUGCUCGGAAUUAUUGGGCGUAAAGCGCGCGUAGGCGGCUACCUAAGUCGGAUGUGAAAGCCCCUGGCUUAACUGGGGAAGUGCACCCGAAACUGGGUAGCUAGAGUGCAAAAGAGGGUCGCGGAAUUCCCGGUGUAGAGGUGAAAUUCGUAGAUAUCGGGAGGAACACCGAUGGCGAAGGCGGCGAGCUGGGUUGGCACUGACGCUGAGGCGCGAAAGCGUGGGGAGCAAACAGG